rnacentral:rRNA from 1 species
UCUUUAUUGUUAGAUGCCUGGGUAGUAAAUGAUUGUCUAAACCUAAAGAAUUUGGCGGUACUUCAUUCUUACUAGAGGAACCUGCUCUUGUAUCGAUAUUCCACGAUUAAAUAUACAUAUUUUUGUUUUUCAGUUUGUAUACCGCCGUUGUCAGAUUAUUUUUGAAAAAUAUUAUCUAAUUAGUUUAUUACUAUGACAUCAGGUCAAGGUGCAGUCAAUGAAUUUGGGAGUAGUGGGUUACAAUAAUCUGAAAUUAUUACGGAUUAAUAGUUGUAUAAUUAUUAUGAAGGUGGAUUUAGUAGUAAAAUAAAGAUAAAAUAUUUAUAUGAAAUGAGCUCUGGAGUGUGU